rnacentral:misc_RNA from 1 species
UUUCCGUAGGUGAACCUGCGGAAGGAUCAUUCAUAAUAAGUGUUUUAUGGCACUUUUUUAAAUCCAUAUCCACCUUGUGUGCAAUGUCAGGGUUGAUUUUUCUCUCGAGAGGAUCCGCCCCAAACAUCAACUAUAUCUCAACUCUUUGUCUGAAAAAUAUUAUGAAUAAAACAAUUCAAAAUACAACUUUCAACAACGGAUCUCUUGGCUCUC